rnacentral:rRNA from 1 species
UGGGGAAUAUUGGAUAAUGGAGGAAACUCUGAUCCAGCAAUUCUGUGUGUGUGAAGAAUGUUUUAGGACUGUAAAACACUUUUAGUAGGGAAGAAAAAAAUGACGGUACCUACAGAAGAAGCAACGGCUAAAUACGUGCCAGCAGCCGCGGUAAUACGUAUGUUGCGAGCGUUAUCCGGAAUUAUUGGGCUUAAAGUGCAUCUAGGCGGUAAGACAAGUUGACGGUGAAAACCUGUGGCUCAACCAUAGGCUUGCCUACAAAACUGUUGAACUAGAGUACUGGGAAGGUGGGGGGAACUACACGAGUAGAGGUGAAAAUCGUAGAUAUGUGUAGGAAUGACGAUGAUGGAGAUAACUCACUGGACAGAAAAUGACGCUGAAGAGCGAAAGCUAGGGGAGCAAACAGG